rnacentral:rRNA from 1 species
CCGUUCAGGGGUAAACCUGAGAAACCCAAAAGAUCGAAUGGGGAGAUUCAUCGUCAGCGUAUUUGAUAUAUAUANGAGUUAUGAUANNGAUACUCNUCUCACGAGGNUNCUAAUNNGUACAUACUNGUAUUAUUUUAUUGUCANAUAUUGUCGGCGUGCACUUCUCCCCUAGUAGGACGUCGCGACCCGUUGAGUGUCGAUCUAAGGCCCGAUUGGGUAGCCUUUAAUUGUAAAAAAUUAAAGACCAAUUGGUGAUU